GGGUAUUCUGGUCACCAAUCCAGAUCCGGUUUGGGAUCGGGAAGUACUCCGGCCGCGUGAUCCGCCCAAGGUGAAAUAUCCUCACCUCGAAUUCAUGAAAAUCGAUGAUGGAUCUAGCUUGACGUUGAGUCUCUGGAAAGAAAAGCCUGUCCAGAGGUGUUACAGAGUUAGCAGAGAGUUCCAAGCUCGACUCAAAGGCUUAGCUCAAUCCAGCGAAAGAUUAAUUACCUGCACCACUUUCGACGCCAUGGCUGCACACAUCUGGAGAUCCUGGGUUAAAGCCUUGGAUGUGAAACCUUUAGAUUAUAGGCUCCGCCUAACGUUCUCGGUCAAUGCUCGACAGAAAUUGAAGAACCCGCCGUUGAGAGAC
rnacentral:lncRNA from 1 species